rnacentral:rRNA from 1 species
UACGAAGGGGGGCUAGCGUUGCUCGGAAUCACUGGGCGUAAAGGGUGCGUAGGCGGGUCUUUAAGUCAGGGGUGAAAUCCUGGAGCUCAACUCCAGAACUGCCUUUGAUACUGAGGAUCUUGAGUACGGGAGAGGUGAGUGGAACUGCGAGUGUAGAGGUGAAAUUCGUAGAUAUUCGCAAGAACACCAGUGGCGAAGGCGGCUCACUGGCCCGAUACUGACGCUGAGGCACGAAAGCGUGGGGAGCAAACGGG